GCCUGGGUAGCUCAACUGGUUGGGCGUCUGACUUCAGCUCAGGUCGUGAUCUCAUGGUUUGUGGGUUCAAGCCCCACGUCGGGCU
rnacentral:tRNA from 1 species